AGUAACGGCGAGUGAACAGGGCAAAGCCCAAAUUUGUAAUCUGGCACUUUUUACAAGUGUCCGAGUUGUAAUUUGUAGAGCUGUUAUCCGUACUGGACCAUGUACAAGUCUGUUGAAAAGCAGCAUCAUUGAAGGUGAAAAUCCUGUAGAUGAUAUGGACUACCAGUAUAUUUGUGAUACGGUUUCUAAGAGUCGAGUUGUUUGGGAAUGCAGCUCAAAGUGGGUGGUAAAUUCCAUCUAAGGCUAAAUAUAAGUGAGAGACCGAUAGCAAACAAGUACCGUGAGGGAAAGAUGAAAAGAACUUUGAAAAUAGAGUUAACAGUACGUGAAAUUGCUGAAAGGGAAACGUUUGAAGUUAGUUUUGUAUUCGUUGGAUCAGCUUCGCAAGGAGUGUAUUCUGAUGAUAAGCAAGUCAACAUCAGUCUAUGAGUGUUGGAUAAGGGUUUUGAGAAUGUAGCAAUUUAAUUGUGUUAUAGCUUGAGACUUGGAUACGAUGCUUUGGAUUGAGGAACGCGUAGUAAGCUUUGAGCGGAUUCGAAAGGAUCUCCUUACUAUGGAUGUUGGUGAAAUAACUUUAAGCGACCCGUCUU
rnacentral:rRNA from 1 species